rnacentral:rRNA from 1 species
AUUUCAACAAUGAAGCGAGUGGCGAACUGGUGAGUAACACGUGGGGAAUCUGCCCAGAAGCAGGGGAUAACACUUGGAAACAGGUGCUAAUACCGCAUAACAACUUGGACCGCAUGGUCCGAGCUUGAAAGAUGGCUUCGGCUAUCACUUUUGGAUGGUCCCGCGGCGUAUUAGCUAGUUGGUGAGGUAAAGGCUCACCAAGGCAGUGAUACGUAGCCGACCUGAGAGGGUAAUCGGCCACAUUGGGACUGAGACACGGCCCAAACUCC